rnacentral:rRNA from 1 species
UGGGGAAUUUUGGACAAUGGGCGAAAGCCUGAUCCAGCAAUGCCGCGUGUGUGAAGAAGGCCUUCGGGUUGUAAAGCACUUUUGUCCGGAAAGAAAUCCUCUGGGUUAAUACCUCGGGGGGAUGACGGUACCGGAAGAAUAAGCACCGGCUAACUACGUGCCAGCAGCCGCGGUAAUACGUAGGGUGCAAGCGUUAAUCGGAAUUACUGGGCGUAAAGCGUGCGCAGGCGGUUUUGUAAGACGGAUGUGAAAUCCCCGGGCUUAACCUGGGAACUGCAUUCGUGACUGCAAGGCUAGAGUAUGGCAGAGGGGGGUAGAAUUCCACGUGUAGCAGUGAAAUGCGUAGAGAUGUGGAGGAAUACCGAUGGCGAAGGCAGCCCCCUGGGCCAAUACUGACGCUCAUGCACGAAAGCGUGGGGAGCAAAUAGGAUUAGAUACCCUGGUAGUCCACGCCCUAAACGAUGUCAACUAGUUGUUGGGGAUUCAUUUCCUUAGUAACGUAGCUAACCGCGUGAAGUUGACCGCCUGGGGGAGUACGGUCGCAAGAUUAAAACUU